CUUCAUUUGAAAAAUGGGAAAAAGAAGUAAUAUCACGUACCUUGACCAUGGUAUCAGAGAAUGACCUCAGAAGUUGUGAGGGAAUUCUCAGACAAAACUUUGAAAUAUAAUCCAGGAUUCAAUCAGUAUAAAGGACGCUCAGCAUAACCCAAGAAGGUCACAGACCAGAAUCACUGGCUGAAACCUCUGGCAGUGACCAACCUCAACUCAAAAGGUGGACGCAAAGGUGUUAAAUGAGGUUGAAUAUAUUGACCAGAAAAGAAAAUAUUAUAGUCCUUUGUUGAAGAAGAGUUUUCUCAUACUGGAAAGAAAAAAAAUAAAAGAAAGAAACUUCAAAAACUUCAUGCUGCUUUCUGAAGUACUCCAGCCAAAGAAAAUAAUUCAGGUAUCAAGUUGGACUAGCUCAGAUGACUACAAAAUGGUGA
rnacentral:lncRNA from 1 species